GCGGGGGUAAUUCAGCGGUAGAAUGCAACCUUGCCAAGGUUGAAGUCGCGGGUUCGAAUCCCGUCCCCCGCUCCA
rnacentral:tRNA from 7 species